rnacentral:rRNA from 1 species
UGGGGAAUUUUGGACAAUGGGCGAAAGCCUGAUCCAGCAAUGCCGCGUGUGUGAAGAAGGCCUUCGGGUUGUAAAGCACUUUUGUCCGGAAAGAAAUCCUUGGCUCUAAUACAGUCGGGGGAUGACGGUACCGGAAGAAUAAGCACCGGCUAACUACGUGCCAGCAGCCGCGGUAAUACGUAGGGUGCAAGCGUUAAUCGGAAUUACUGGGCGUAAAGCGUGCGCAGGCGGUUUGCUAAGACCGAUGUGAAAUCCCCGGGCUCAACCUGGGAACUGCAUUGGUGACUGGCAGGCUAGAGUAUGGCAGAGGGGGGUAGAAUUCCACGUGUAGCAGUGAAAUGCGUAGAGAUGUGGAGGAAUACCGAUGGCGAAGGCAGCCCCCUGGGCCAAUACUGACGCUCAUGCACGAAAGGCGUGGGGAGCAAACAGGAUUAGAUACCCUGGUAGUCCACGCCCUAAAACGAUGUCAACUAGUUGUUGGGGAUUCAUUUCCUUAGUAACGUAGCUAACGCGUGAAGUUGACCGCCUGGGGAGUACGGUCGCAAGAUUAAAACUCAAAUGAAUUGACGGGGUCAUAGCUGUUUCCU